rnacentral:lncRNA from 1 species
AAAGAACAAACACAUGGAGGAAAAACAUGAAACUUCCAAGAGUACAGUCCUAUGAGCAAAAACUCAGACAUCUUUGAGCGAUAGAAGAGACAACUGGGCCGGGGGCCAGUUCAGUGCGGACCUACAUUUCAACCACCAUGAUGAAGGAGAGUUGUGUGUGGUGCCCUGUGGAUGGUGCAGGUGAGACGUCCAAAGACAGCAUCGCUCACACUGCUCAGGACGGAUGAGGUACUGAAGGAGGCCAGAUUGGAGGAGCCAGCCUGGGCAGGGCUGUGGCUGUUUCAGGGCAAGGUAAGGGGUCCUUCUGUGAACUCAGAGAAGUUUCCUGUUUUGUGUCCUUUCCCAAAGCCCUGGUAUAGUGCCGGCCAUUAGGAACAUUAUAAAGUGCACCCAGUUUUUCUUGGUGGAAGUUCCCCUUUUUGUGUCCUUUACCCUUUUAAAA